AAGCUAUUUCUGUAACAAAAGAUAAAAUAAAAUUGUUUUUGUUUAAGCUAUUUUCAUAAGUUAUAUCUUAGAGAGCUUGUAAAAAUAAGCCGAAAACAACUUAUGAAGGUGUCAUAAGUUGUACUCAUAAUGGACUUGAUGUUGGAUGUGUUAGAACUCUACCUCUAUUCUUUUCGGAAUUUUUUGUGAAGGGUUGAGUGCCAAAAGUGGUGAACAUUGUAUGAUGAUGGAAUAUUUUGACGAGUGAAUUACUUAGAUACUGACAGAUUUCAUUAGUUGAAUCAAUAGAUGUACUCUUGCAAUUCUGAGACUCAAAACAUAUAUCUUUUUAGAAUCUGGGUUGAGCCAUCAUCAUAGAUCUUGAAUGGGCUCUAACACCAUCUUAGAAUUUGGGUUGAGCCGAACUCAACCCUUUCAAAACCGGC
rnacentral:lncRNA from 1 species